rnacentral:rRNA from 1 species
AGAGUUUGAUCAUGGCUCAGGAUGAACGCUGGCGGAAUGCUUAACACAUGCAAGUCUACUUGAACAGUUCUUCGGAACUUAUUAGGGCGGCGGACGGGUGAGUAACGCGUGAAGAACUUGCCCUUAGGACUGGGACAACAGUUGGAAACGACUGCUAAAACCGGAUAAGCUCACAGCAUCGCAUGGUGCAGUGAGAAAACACUAUAUGUGCCUAAGGAGAGCUUCGCGUCCUAUUAGCUAGUUGGUGGGGUAAUGGCCCACCAAGGCGACGAUAGGUAGCCGGCCUUAACGGGUGAUCGGCCACAAGGGAACUGAGACACGGUCCUUACUCCUACGGGAGGCAGCAGUGGGGAAUAUUGGACAAUGGGGGCAACCCUGAUCCAGCAAUUCCGCGUGGAUGAUGAAGGGUUUAGGCUCGUAAAGUCCUUUUAGUUGGGAAGAUAGUGACGGUACCAACAGAAAAAGCACCGGCUAAUUACGUGCCAGCAGCCGCGGUAAGACGUAAGGUGCAAGCGUUAUCCGGAAUUACUAGGCAUAAAGGGCAUCUAGGCGGCUAUGUAAGUCAGAGGUGAAAAGUCUGGGCUCAACCGAGGCCUUGCCUUUGAUACUGCAUAGCUAGAGUACGGGAGAGGAGGGCGGAACUACAAGUGUAGAGGUGAAAUUCGUAGAUAUUUGUAGGAAUGCCGAUUACGAAGGUAGCUCUCUGGACCGAUACUGACGCUAAAGUGCGAAAGCUAGGGGAGCGAACAGGAUUAGA